rnacentral:rRNA from 1 species
GAUGAACGCUGGCGGCGUGCUUAACACAUGCAAGUCGAACGGGAUCCAUCGGGCUUUGCUUGGUGGUGAGAGUGGCGAACGGGUGAGUAAUGCGUGACCGACCUGCCCCAUGCUCCGGAAUAGCUCCUGGAAACGGGUGGUAAUGCCGGAUGUUCCACAUGAUCGCAUGUGAUUGUGGGAAAGAUUCUAUCGGCGUGGGAUGGGGUCGCGUCCUAUCAGCUUGUUGGUGAGGUAACGGCUCACCAAGGCUUCGACGGGUAGCCGGCCUGAGAGGGCGACCGGCCACAUUGGGACUGAGAUACGGCCCAGACUCCUACGGGAGGCAGCAGUGGGGAAUAUUGCACAAUGGGCGCAAGCCUGAUGCAGCGACGCCGCGUGAGGGAUGGAGGCCUUCGGGUUGUAAACCUCUUUUGUUUGGGAGCAAGCCUUCGGGUGAGUGUACCUUUCGAAUAAG